rnacentral:lncRNA from 1 species
AAGUAAAAGACUUGUCCCUACAACGGUUGGACUCAGACGAGAGCUGCGCAAUAGGGUCAAAUCCAGCACUCUGAGAUUAUUCAACCCUGAUCACAUGUGACGUGACGUAUCCACCUAAUGGCUAACUCCCAUCACUCAGAAUCCCACAAUGCACAAAGCAAGCAGCAUUCGAACAAGGGAAAAUCUAACCAUAACAUACUCAAGCAAUCAUAUCCACAUAGCAAGAAUCUGAACUAGCAUGCAACACAAACUCAUAACUCAGGCAUAACCUAAACAGGCUAUCCUACUACUGUCUAAUCAGCACUACUAUGCAGCUCAAAAGCACAAAUAACAGGCACAUAAGGCAUCAUUCCUAGAUCCUUAGUCCUAUUCUAGCAUGCUGUUCUAUCAACUGAUAAUCAUAACAUAAACUUGUAUGGGUAUUUUGGGGUACUUACUUGAGCUCGGUUGAUUGCAUGCACCACACCUCUUUUCUCUUUUCAAAGUUCUUUUCUUUCUGAAUUCUUUUUGCUUUUCUAAAACCGUUUUCUUCCUCAAAACUCUCUUUUACAAAACUGUCUUUUCAUUUUGAAAACUCUUAUACCAAUCCCUCAGUUUGAGUUCAGACAUGCUCGAGAGCAUGUCCGAAUCCCUCAAACCAAGGCUCUGAUACCAACUUGUAACGUCCCAAAAUUCAAGACUAAAAAUUUCUUUUAAUAAAGUAUCACUUAAAGUAAAAUCAUCAUUUCAAAACAUAAACAGAGUAUUAGUUUUCAAAACACAUGUUCAUUAUCAGAGUAAAACAUUCCCAGGCUGACUAAUCUAUGGUGUGUGCCAUGCGAUCAUCCCGAGCUCCAUCAUCCGCUACCGGAAGUACCUGAAACCAAAACUGAAAGCCGUAAGCACGAAGCUUAGUGAGUUCCCCAGAUACCACAUACCAUACAAACCAUUCAUAGCCAAGAAUCAUACAUAACUGACUUAUCCAUAACCAAGUAAGGUGCUAUGUGCCAAACAUAGUCUUGCCAUUAUGCCACGGGCCGCACGUGGUCUUACUGGUCAAGCCUGGGCCGCUCCCUGGGUCUUACAGACAAGUGCCAAGGGCUACCCCCUGGUCUUACAGACGUGUUCCAAGGGCCACCCCCUGGUCUUACAGACAAAUGCCAAGGGCUACCUCCCGGUCUUACAGACAAGUGCUAAGGGCCACCCCCUGGUCUUCUAUGCAAGUAUCAAAAAGACAACCGUACAUACUACUCUACUUAGCUAAACAGCAUACAGUGUGCCAGAAGCCACCUCCUGGUCUUUCAUAUCUAUAGCAUACAAUGCGCCAGGAGCCACCUCCCGGUCUUUCAUACAUAUUGCCUAGGGCUAACCCCCGGGUCUUCCUAUCAUACAUAAUAACAUAUUGUGUGCCAGGAGCCGCCCCCUGGUCUUUCAUGCAUAUUCUAAAUGGGCCGGCAUUGGUGCCCUAGACCCAUACAAACAGUGAGGAGACUCACCUGAUACUGCUGAACUGCUGCUGCUAAACCCUUUGACCGCUACCCGUCCACUGACUGAACUCCUGCUCUACUUGCUUCCCGAGCUAACAAUAUCAAAGCAACACUGAGUCUAACUGACCCCCGAAAGACAACCAAGUCAACUCAGGUCAAAGUCAAAGUCCUGGUCAAAGUCAACCUUCCAGGUCAACCCUACUCAUCGAGUCACCCUACUGACUCACCGAGUUCAUGAGUCCAGAGUCCUUCCACUCGCGACUCUACUCGCCGAGCCAGCCGCUGACUCGCCAAGUCUACCGAUUCCCGAUUCCUAUCCUGUCUAACUCACUGAGUCCUGGCUCGACUCGCUGACUCGAGUCUUAACUCGAUGGGUUUGGGACUCCGCGACCUGACUCGCCGAGUCUAAGAACAAACUCGCCGAGCACAAGGAAAUCUUCAUCCAACUCGCCGAGUUGUUCAUCCAACUCGUCGAGUUCAUGCCCAUCUUCAUCCGACUCGACGAGCUGUUCAUCCCACUCGUCGAGUUCCUCCUCAUCUUCAUGGUACUCGCCGAGUCCACUCAAAGGAUUCGCCGAGUCUAUUCAGAUCUCCCAACAUGCAGAGGGCUUUUGAGUCAUCCAGGGACUCCAUUCCAUAGAUCCAUACUUCCAAAGCUCAAUCCCUACGUAAAGUUGCAAACUUUACGUAUAACUAAAGAGAUCUAGGCUCAAAACACAUUAGGGUUUGGUUUAAGGACACAAGGGCUUCACCAACUACUCAUCUCCUGAUGCUUGAUGACAUAAUGGACUCACCCAACCAUAGAUCUGAAGUGGCAACAACAUAUCUAAGCCCCUAACCCGAUUUGGGUCUCAAACAACCAUAAAACCCCCAAAUCUCAUGACAAAAUAGAUCUAGAUGCAAAGAAGGGAAAAUGGCAGCUUAAUACCUCCAAGAUGAACACAAACUGAAGUAGAUCUCGAGCACACACCUCUCCUUUGAAGCAACCUUCUUGAUCUUCAAGUNNNNNNNNNNNNNNNNNNNNNNNNNNNNNNNNNNNNNNNNNNNNNNNNNNNNNNNNNNNNNNNNNNNNNNNNNNNNNNNNNNNNNNNNNNNNNNNNNNNNNNNNNNNNNNNNNNNNNNNNNNNNNNNNNNNNNNNNNNNNNNNNNNNNNNNNNNNNNNNNNNNNNNNNNNNNNNNNNNNNNNNNNNNNNNNNNNNNNNNNNNNNNNNNNNNNNNNNNNNNNNNNNNNNNNNNNNNNNNNNNNNNNNNNNNNNNNNNNNNNNCCGACUCGCCGAGUCCCUCCUUGGACUCGUCGAGUUGACCCCUAAACUUAGGGUUUUCUUCCCUUUCUUGGUCUUCAAAACUUUGGGUGUUACAACUCUCCCCCACUUAAAUUAAACUUCGUCCUCGAAGUUUGCCAUAGCCCACCGCCUGCAUUCCGCCUUCAAUACUUACCAAUUAUCCCAACACCAGCUGCCUACCUUCGCUGGUCUUCCACGUGGUCGUUCUGACUAACAUAAACCUUGCGGGUAAACCUCGGGUCAAACCUGACACUGAUCAACUCAGAAACACAACUUACUCAACCGAUAAUCCUUCCGGUACUCACCGAGUACUGCACUGAACCUAUAGGGGUUCACCCCUUCUUUCCAUGCGCAAAUUUCUUGCCUUCCCAAGGCAAAUCCUCAUAACCGACUUUUCCUCUGACACUGUGAAGGCCCUAUCCUUCACUAACUCCAUCACCCCCGCUGUUCCCAAAGCGGGUCAUCACCGUCUGUCACCACUGACACUGCUCUCUGACAGAACUUGGUGCCUAGCACCCCUCGACCAACUAUCUGAAUUCAACCAUAGACUGCUUACCAGCACUGCCACUGGCUGGAAAUUUCUGCUAUUCCUUAUCUGCCUUCCGGAUGAACUGAGACCACCUUGGUCCUUACCAAUCUACCAAUAUCUGGAUUACCGGCUCCCACCGGUGGCUAGCCCCAACUCAACUCCUAGUCGCUUCCAGCGACUUUCGAAGAAACUUUACCAAUAACCGCUCAAUCCAUUCUGCCACGAAAUCAUACACCUGCCACAUUCGCUCUAAUGAAUAGGGACCGAUGAAUGCUACGGGCCACCCCGUAGUCUUACCACACUUCUACGCUUCCAGCCAUCCAAACCUACGGGCCGCCCCGCAGUCUUGCUAAACCAGUGCUACGGGCCAUACCGUAGCCUAAUCGUACUCACAUACGAUUGCUGCAGGCCACACCGUAAUCUCACUAAUCUAAUUCUACGGGCCACACCGCAGUCUUACUAAUCUGAUGCUACGGGCCACACCGCAGUCUUGCUAAUCAGAUGCUACGGGCCACACCAUAGUCUUGCUAAUCUGAUGCUACGGGCCACACUGCAGUCUUACUAGUCUAAUGCUACGGACCACACUGCAGUCUCACUAAUCUAAUGCUACGGGCCACACCGCAGUCUUAAUAAUCUGAUGCUACGGCCAUACCGCAAUCUUGCUAAUCUGAUGCUACGGCCACACUGUAGUCUUACUAGUCUAAUGCUACGGACCACAUCGCAGUCCAACCAUACUCUCAUACGAUUGCUGCGGACCACACCGCAGUCUUAAUAUGCUUUCCUUACUAUUAGCCACUGGUGAAUGCUACGGCCAUCCGGUAGUCUGACAACACCCUUCCAUCCCGACUAGCUGCUAGGGGAUGCUACGACUAACCCAUAGUUGAUCAUUUAACACAAUCGAGUACUCCCAGGUGGUACUCAUGUUCCAAAUGGAACUCCCAACCGAUUCCUAUGUAAUCCGCGACUAGAAAUUUCGAGAAUGAGAUCUCACGGUUGGCAAGUUUUCCAAACUUCGAAUUUACUCUAUCCUCCAAUCAUACAGUCACCUGAGCCGUCUUUCUUACUACAAGAGAGCGAACUUAUCCCAGUUUCAAGACCCCUUCUACUCCCAUAACCUGAUUGUUUCUCCCCCACUUAGCCUCAGCUAAGUCUUUACUGCCUACGAAAACCCGAAGAAUUCCAUUCCUUCCUUCCUUACAUGAUAGGCAUGGUAACCCUCAUCGCCCUAUCCCAGCUAGCGAUCCGUCUCUAGCCCACUCCAACUGCCGCAUAAUUAUUGAAUACUAGAUGAACACCACCCGCAUCUCUGAUGCUAAAUAAAUCCUCUAAGCUCUGACUACUGUCCUUGCAGUCCGAAUAACUGGGUACAGACUCCUUGGUGAUAAGCCACUUUCCUUGAUGCUUCCGAAAGCCAUCCCGAACGCCCAGAUUAGAACCAUCAAAUCCCGAUGAUGGUGGCUGACCACUUCCCGAAUCAUUUUCAACCGUACCCGAGAUGAUACUGAACACUUCGAACCCGAAGUGAAAGAUGACCUACACUAGCUACUAAUAGCUCCUGGUAUGCAAUUGGCAUAAGACAAUUCCAGAAUACAAUCCAAAUACAAACAGAGAGACAAAUCAUACAUAAAAUCGCCUGAUUCCAGGGCAAAAACUUCCAUAAUUCAUAUAGGAAUGAAAAUAGCCAUAGAUACGUACCUGCAACAUUCCUUCCUGUAGUCCGGAUCCUCCGCACCUGUCACUGCAUGGCACUACCCUCUCGCCCAUCCGUAAUCCUCAUAGUCGCUGGGGCAGGCGCACUCCCUGCUCCUCCCCUCAUCAUCGGGCAGUCGGUCCUCUUGUGGCCCACCUGAUUGCAGUGAAAACAUAAUGGGCUUGCCCCCCGUGGGCAGUCCCUGCUGACGUGACCAUCACUGCCACACUUGUAGCAGCCGGAACCCCUGGAACGACACACUCCCUCGUGCGGUUUCCCGCACGUGCUGCACUGACUUCGGCCCUGCCGACCCACUAAUCGCUGAUCUGAAGUCUUGGGUCUCUUCCCGGGACCCUCCAAAGUGAAUGUCUGAUCUGACUUCCUCUUCGCAAUGUGCUCCAGAUCGAUCUCCCUCUCCCUAGCUCUGGCAAUCAUAGAGUCCAGGGUCGGGCAUGCCGAGAAGCUGACAUGCUCCCGAAUCUCCGCUCUCAACAUGUCAUGAUAGCGGGUCCUCUGCAUCUCAUCAUCCCCUGCAUACUGAGGAACUAAUAGGGCCCUCUCCCGAAACUUGGCNUCAACAUCUCAUGGUACCGAGCCUUCUUCAUUUCCUCAUCCGCGACAUACUGCGGUACAAGAAGAGCCCUCUCCCUGAACUUGGCGGUGACCUCCGCCACAGUCUCAGUAGUCUGCGUCAAAUCCUGAAACUCUCAUGCCAGCUGCUGCACCUCAAUCAUUGGCGAAAACUCCGCCCUGAACCUGGCCGAGAAAUCGCUCCAAGUCAUCGCGUCCAACGCGGCAUCAUCUCCCAGAGCAUGACCAAUCUCUUCCCACCAAUCCCUCGCUUUGUCCUUCAGAUGAUAGGAGGCUAGUCUAACCUUGUCCCCCUCGGGACACUUGCCGGUACGAAAAGCGUUGGCAACAUCGGCCAACCAUCUGCUGCUAGCAAUAGGGUCCCUAGCCCCAUGAUAAUCUGGUGCCCCGCAGGCUCUGAACUCUUGAAAUGUCAAGGUACGCGCUCCCAUCAAUGCCAUCAUCUCAGUACGGAAGGCUCCCAACCUCUCAUCCAAAAUCUCCAGUAUACCCUCCUUGACCGUGCCAAAGAUCACAGGAGUCUGAGCUAGAAUAAUGCGCGUAACCUCAGUUGAUAUCAACUCUCUCAUUCACUCCUCGAGCUGCUCGGCCCCUGAACCCGAGCCUGAUCACUCUCCGGUGCCUGACCCGCCCGCUGGUCUCUCUCGCAAUGUCACCAUGCUGAAAAUAUACCACAACCACUAUCAGAAUACUCAUAACUGAUGCGAGACCAAACAUACCCUGCCAUGUUCCCGGUCUUGUCUCGGCCUUUCCCGAAUCGAGUACGGAUCCUCUGCUUUUAGUAGUACGGGCCCAUACUACCUUCCACAUCUAUCCGUACUUUCCUCAGGAAUUGCUUUGACUCCACCAGGUCCCUUAUCCACUAAUACUGCUCCCAGCACUAUCUCAUCCUAGGCUUACCCUAGGGAAACCUCUGACUCAACUCAAACCAGUCCUCAGCUGCUGAAGGUCUCCUUGUGAUGCCAAUUAGCCAUCACCUGGAUACCAUCACAUGCGACGAGGCUCAGAUAAUCCUUCAAGUAAAAGACUCGUCCCUACAACGGUUGGACUCAGACGAGAGCUGAGCAAUAGGGUCAAAUCCAGCACUCUGAGAUUAUUCAACCCUGAUCACAUGUGACGUGACGUAUCCACCUAAUGGCUAACUCCCAUCACUCAGAAUCCCACAAUGCACAAAGCAAGCAACAUUCGAACAAGGGGAAAAUCUAACCAUAACAUACCCAAGCAAUCAUAUCCACAUAGCAAGAAUCUGAACUAGCAUGCAACACAAACUCAAAAACUCAGGCAUAACCUAAACAGGCUAUCCUACUACUGUCUAAUCAGCACUAUCAUGCAACUCAAAAGCACAAAUAACAGGCACAUAAGGCAUCAUCCCUAGAUCCUUAGUCCUAUUCUAGCAUGCUGUUCUAUCAACUGAUAAGCAUAACAUAAACUUGUAUGGGUAAUUUGGGGUACUUACUUGAGCUCGGUUGAUUGCAUGCACCACACCUCUUUUCUCUUUUCAAAGUUCUUUUCUUUCUGAAUUCUUUUUGCUUUUCUAAAACUAUUUUUCGUUCUCAAAAUUCUUUUUACAAAACUGUCCUUUCACUUUUGAAAACUUUUUAUCCGACCCCUCAGUUUGAGUUCAGGCACACCCGAGAGUAUGCCCGAAUCCCUCAAACCAAGGCUCUGAUACCAACUUGUAACGUCCCAAAAUUCAAGACUAAAAAUUUCUUUUAAUAAAGUAUCAAUUAAAGUAAAAUCAUCAUUUCAAAACAUAAACAGAGUAUUAGUUUUCAAAACACAUGUUCAUUAUCAGAGUAAAACAUUCCCAGGCUGACUAAUCUAUGGUGUGUGCCAUGCGAUCAUCCCGAGCUCCAUCAUCCGCUACCGGAAGUACCUGAAACCAAAACUGAAAGCCGUAAGCACGAAGCUUAGUGAGUUCCCCA